rnacentral:rRNA from 1 species
CUUUCCUUGAUGACGACUGGCGCACGGGUGAGUAACGCGUAUCCAACCUUCCCAUAACUACGGGAUAACCCGUUGAAAGACGGCCUAAUACCGUAUGAUAUCGUUUGCUGACAUCAAAUAACGAUUAAAGGUUUAGCGGUUAUGGAUGGGGAUGCGUCUGAUUAGCUUGUUGGCGGGGUAACGGCCCACCAAGGCAACGAUCAGUAGGGGUUCUGAGAGGAAGGUCCCCCACAUUGGAACUGAGACACGGUCCAAACUCCUACGGGAGGCAGCAGGC